CAACAUGGGAUCCAAAAUAUGUCUGCGACCUACUCCACAGCUUGCAGCAAUACCAGAUCUUUAACCCGCUGAGCAAGGCCAAGGAAUGAAUCUGUAAAUUUAUGGUUAUAAGUUGGACUCAUUUCCAUUGUGCCACUGGGAACUCCUCCUUUGAUUGUUUGGAGGCACAACUCUGGGCCCAGAAACACUUGGCUGGCUUUUUGCCCGUACAGUUUGCUAGGAUCGGGCUGGUCCGUGUGAAGCUGAGCUUCCCAAAAUAUGUCUUUAUGGUGGUGAAAGCGCUGUGGCAUCCCAGUUGUUUGGGGCACAGGCUGUGCUCAUACCCAUGCUCUUUCUCUCUAGAGAUUUCCUCACCCUUUUCCUCCCUUCCACCUGAGACUCUUCAUCCUCUGCCAGACACCGGUUACAAGGAAGCUACUUGCACCCAGAUAACGUGAAUGAAGGCUGGUGGUCCUUGGAUUCAUGCUGGUUCCCAGGGCUUAAGAGUGCUGAUUUGUUCAGAGCCUGCUUGCAUGUCUAAUUAAGUGGGGUCACUGAUUUCAGUUUGUGUGGUGAUGUCAUGGGGGGGUGUCUUGCCAGAAUGUGAGAUAGUCAUACCCCAACCUGUAGUGUGUUUCACUGCUCCAAAGGGAGACCAGCAAGGACAUCCUGCUGGCAGGUGCCCCCAGCCAGAGGAGACCAGGCUUCUGCUGAGGGAGGCAGAGGAAGGUCUGGGAGAUGCUGUUCGAGCACGUGUCCGCCAGAGGGCGCCAGAGCAGAGCACUAUGUACCUGCUUGUUUGUAUCUCCGGGCUCAGAAGGAAUUGGAGUUUCGCUCAUGGAUCUUCAAGGGUGAUUCCUGGAGCCUGGCACUUGUGUUCUUGAAUCACGAUGGAGUGCAGCUUGACUUCUGGAAAGAUGGGCUUCUGGCUGUGAAUAUUACCAGAGUUUCAACAUGGUGGUUAUUUUGGGAUGUACGGUGCUGGUCCUGGGCCGUUUCUCUCCAGAGAUCUCCUCCACAACCCCCUGCUUCCCUCCCGUGUUAGACUCUACUGAACCGAGUGACAAGGAACCCACCCAAAUCCAGGUGAUGUGGAAAAGGUUGGGUGAUCUUGAUUUCAAGCAGGGUCCAGGGUUGAUAGUUGCUGACUGAUUCGAAGACUGCUCACUUGAUUUCAAUAGGGGUGGGGGGGGCUGAUUUCAAGGAGUGGGGUUGUGUCACGCCUGUGGGUAAUUGCCCUGAUGCCCUCGAGACAGUCAUAACCUACUUGUCAUGUGUUUCAGUAGGCAGAGAGUGAGAGGAAUAAAAAGUCUUGCUGGAAGGUGUGCCAGGCCAGAGCAGAGUUCUGCUGAGGGAGGCAGAGGAAAGGCUGGGAAUUGCUAUUAGAGCACAUGUCCACCAGAUGGUGACAGAGAACCAGCACAAACUCCCCCUCCCCUUGCCUGAGCCUCUGCAGCUCCCUGGCUGCAACUCAAGACUCAAAUAUACGUUGGAGAUAGGUUGGUGGAAGCCCAGUGUGGUGCCCAGAGCUGGGGCCUGGUUAUAGGGCAUUUCCAAGUCUCUGGGCAAUGUCCCUCCUCUCAGAAGAGGGGAUGGAGUAAUGCCAUCACAUCUCAGGUAAAUUCCCUCACCGUCCAGUGCAUAGAGAGUUUGACAGGCUGUCUUAAAUUUGAGUCCCCUUUGCUUGAUGGAAGGCCCACCUCUGGACCCAGAAUUCCCUGGCAUGAAUUUUGGCUAUCCAGUUUGCUCAUGUCAGGCUGGUCCACAGAGUUGAGCUUCUAGAAAGCUGGCCUUCUGGUUGUGAGUGUACUGUGUCAACCCAGUGCUUUUAGGGGGCAGGCUGCACUCAUGCCUAUGCUCUUUCUCUCUCCAGGUCUCCUCAAACUUCUUCCCUCACACCCGAGUCUCUUCCUCCCUAGGAGUCUCCUGGUGCAUGGAACUGACCAGAAACUGGGUAAUGUAUAUAAAUCUGGGUCAUCCCUGGCUUCACGCUGGAUCCAAGGGCUGAAGGGUGCUGGUUGAUGUGGAGCCUGCUCUCAUGACUUACAAAAUGGAGGGGAUUUCAGGGUGUGGGGUGGUGCUGUGUUGGGUGAGGGUCUUGGCUGACUGUGACAGUGCACCCGACAGGGAGAGGAGGAAGAAUAUCAUGCUGGCAAUUGCCCCAGGCCAGGGCACACCAGAAUUUAGCUGCGGGACACAGAGGAAGGUCUGAGAGUUGCUUUUAGAGGACAUGUCCUCCAGAGGGCGACAGAGCACCAGCAGAGCCCGCUGCAUCUCUCUGCAUCUCUCCAGGCUCAGAUUGGAUUGGAAAGGGACCCAUGGAAUCCCAAGGAGGGGCCAAGAGCCUGGGGUUUGUUUUCGUGGUGCCCUGACACUGCAGCCCAAUGGGACUCCAUUCAGUGAGGGGAUGGAAUUUUGCCAUCAGGUAUCUGAUUCCAUUCCUGCCAGUCAGGCAGCCAGAGUAUGAGUGAGUUUGACUGGCUCUCCGGGGUCUAAGGGUCCUUUCUUGUUUGAGGCUGGACCAGAGAAACCUGGCUUGAAUCCUGGACAUGCCGUUUUCAAAUCAGCCUGGCAGGGUGUUUGAAGUCUAGAAACCUGAGCUUCAGGGUGUUAAGGUCGUAUGUCUUACGUGUUCAGGGUGUGAGCUGUGCUUAUGGUGUGGUUCUGUCUCUCCAGGGUUCCCCAAAGCCUCUGCCUGCCUUCUGCAGCUGAGCUGCUUCAGCCUCUGUGGGACACCCAUUUGAAGGAACCUGUCCAAAUCCAUGUAAGCUGAGACUUCCUCCUCUGCCAGACACAUGUUCCAAGGAAGCUCCUGCAACUAGGGUGUGGGCUUGUGUCGUGAAGGUUGAGUAUCCAGGGUGACAGUGAAGAAUCCAUACUCCCACCCAAGAGUGGAUUUCAGUGCUGAGAGGAAGAGGAGGAAGACAUCUUGCUGGCUUGUGCCCCAGGUCUGUGCAGACCAGAGUUUUGCUGUGGGAGGCAGAGGAAGGGCUGAGAGUUGUUAUUAGAGCACAUGUCCACCAGAGGGCACCAGAGCCCCCCAUCGCCUCUCUGCAGCUCCCUGUUUGUAUCUCCAGGCUCAGAAGGGGUUGGAAGAGGGACGCAUGGAACCUCAGGGAGGGGCCCAGAGCCAGGUGUUGGUUUGCAUGGUGCCUCUGACACUGUGGCCCCAUUUGCCUCAAUGCAGGGAGGGGACAGAUUUCUGCCAUUAAAUAUCUAAUUCAGUUCC